rnacentral:lncRNA from 1 species
GGGUCGAGGUUAUCUUCAGUUCUAUAAAAUUACUGACCUAAGGGUCGAGAUUAUUUUUAUCUCUAUAAAAUAUCGAUCUGAAGGUCGAGGUUAUCUUUAGCUCUACACAAUACUGAUCUCAGGAUCGAGAUCUCUAGAUCAAAGUUAUUUUGUAAUUCUUUUAUAGAUCUUCGGAUCGAAGUUAUCUUGAAAUUCUAUUAUAG